AAAUUGAAGAGUUUGAUCAUGGCUCAGAUUGAACGCUGGCGGCAGGCCUAACACAUGCAAGUCGAACGGUAACAGGAAGCAGCUUGCUGCUUCGCUGACGAGUGGCGGACGGGUGAGUAAUGUCUGGGAAACUGCCUGAUGGAGGGGGAUAACUACUGGAAACGGUAGCUAAUACCGCAUAACGUCGCAAGACCAAAGAGGGGGACCUUCGGGCCUCUUGCCAUCGGAUGUGCCCAGAUGGGAUUAGCUWGUWGGUGGGGUAACGGCUCACCWAGGCGACGAUCCCUAGCUGGUCUGAGAGGAUGACCAGCCACACUGGAACUGAGACACGGUCCAGACUCCUACGGGAGGCAGCAGUGGGGAAUAUUGCA
rnacentral:rRNA from 1 species